GGUCCCUACGGGACGCAGCAGUGAGGAAUAUUGGUCAAUGGACGAAAGUCUGAACCAGCCAUGCCGCGUGCGGGAAGACGGCUCUAUGAGUUGUAAACUGCUUUUGUACAAGGGUAAACCUGGAUACGUGUAUUCAGCUGAAAGUACUGUACGAAUAAGGAUCGGCUAACUCCGUGCCAGCAGCCGCGGUAAUACAGAGGAUCCAAGCGUUAUCCGGAUUUAUUGGGUUUAAAGGGUGCGUAGGCGGAUUGAUAAGUUAGAGGUGAAAUGUCCGGGCUCAACUCGGGAACUGCCUCUAAUACUGU
rnacentral:rRNA from 1 species